rnacentral:rRNA from 1 species
GAUGAACGCUGGCGGCGUGCCUAAUACAUGCAAGUCGAGCGCACGGACGAGAAGCUUGCUUCUCUGAUGUUAGCGGCGGACGGGUGAGUAACACGUGGAUAACCUACCUAUAAGACUGGGAUAACUUCGGGAAACUGGAGCUAAUACCGGAUAAUAUUUUGAACCGUAUGGUUCACAAGUGAAAGACGGUUUUGUUGUUACUUAUAGAUGGAUCCGUGCUGCAUUGGCUAGUUGGUAAGGUAACGGCUUACCAAGGCAACGUACCAUAGCCGACCUGGGAGGGGAUUCGGCCACACUGGAACUAGACCACGGCCAGGACUCCUACGGGAGGCGGCGGAGGGGAAUCUUCCGCAAUGAGCGAAGGCUGAACGAGGCAAGGCGGCGGAGGGAAGGAGGGUUUUCGGUUCGAAAAACUCGGUGAUAGGGAAGGAACAUAUGGGUAAGUAACUGUGCACAUCUUGACGGUACCUAAUCAGAAAGCCACGGCUAACUACGUG